GACGAACGCUGGCGGCGUGCCUAAUACAUGCAAGUCGAGCGAGCGGAACUAACAGAUUUACUUCGGUAAUGACGUUAGGAAAGCGAGCGGCGGAUGGGUGAGUAACACGUGGGGAACCUGCCCCAUAGUCUGGGAUACCACUUGGAAACAGGUGCUAAUACCGGAUAAGAAAGCAGAUCGCAUGAUCAGCUUUUAAAGGGCGGCGUAAGCUGUCGCUAUGGGAUGGCCCCGCGGUGCAUUAGCUAGUUGGUAAGGUAAAGGCUUACCAAGGCGAUGAUGCAUAGCCGAGUUGAGCGACUGAUCGGCCACAUUGGGACUGAGACACGGCCCAAACUCCUACGGGAGGCAGCAGUAGGGAAUCUUCCACAAUGGACGCAAGUCUGAUGGAGCAACGCCGCGUGAGUGAAGAAGGUUUUCGGAUCGUAAAGCUCUGUUGUUGGUGAAGAAGGAUAGAGGUAGUAACUGGCCUUUAUUUGACGGUAAUCAACCAGAAAGUCACGGCUAACUACGUGCCAGCAGCCGCGGUAAUACGUAGGUGGCAAGCGUUGUCCGGAUUUAUUGGGCGUAAAGCGAGCGCAGGCGGAAGAAUAAGUCUGAUGUGAAAGCCCUCGGCUUAACCGAGGAACUGCAUCGGAAACUGUUUUUCUUGAGUGCAGAAGAGGAGAGUGGAACUCCAUGUGUAGCGGUGGAAUGCGUAGAUAUAUGGAAGAACACCAGUGGCGAAGGCGGCUCUCUGGUCUGCAACUGACGCUGAGGCUCGAAAGCAUGGGUAGCGAACAGG
rnacentral:rRNA from 1 species